UUAAAGUGACAACUGUAGUUACUUUGCCGGGAAGUCCCAGGUUCUGCACAGCAUGCCAUGGCGCAUUACGUUGAUAUAAAAAAUACAACCCAGUCCAUUAACAGUCAGCAAGCGGGGGUUAGUGAACAUGGGUUCCGAACUCGCCAGGCACAGUGUGCAGCUGCCUACCAGCGCAACUCUUGGGCCUUGUUUUUGCAGGUCCUCCAUGAGAUUCGUCGCUGAUGGAAGCUUCCGGUGAGCAGCGCGCCUCGGCAUCGAGGCCAGCCGGCGGCUCAGUCAUAUUCAGUCGGCGCGGUCCGUGGGUCACUUUUGGGUGUUCAGGACUGACUAUCGGUGUGGACAAAUGGAAAGUGAGUUUAGGUUGGUCUGCAGUAAUUAAAAAAUGCAAGCGAGUGACGCGGAUUUAUUUGCAGACGCUAACAGUGCUGCGCGCUUUCGAAAUAGGACCUUCCACCUCUAUUGUAUUUUACAUCCAGGCCUGUAGAGUAUUGUAAAGUACUAUCUCCG
rnacentral:lncRNA from 1 species